GAUGAACGCUGGCUACAGGCUUAACACAUGCAAGUCGAGGGGAAACGACGGGGAAGCUUGCUUCCCCGGGCGUCGACCGGCGCACGGGUGAGUAACGCGUAUCCAACCUGCCUCUGACUGAGGGAUAACCCGUCGAAAGUCGGCCUAAUACCUCAUGGUAUCGUUUGCGGGCAUCCAACGACGAUUAAAGAUUUCAUCGGUCAGGGAUGGGGAUGCGUCUGAUUAGCUUGUUGGCGGGGUAACGGCCCACCAAGGCUACGAUCAGUAGGGGUUCUGAGAGGAAGGUCCCCCACAUUGGAACUGAGACACGGUCCAAACUCCUACGGGAGGCAGCAGUGAGGAAUAUUGGUCAAUGGGCGAGAGCCUGAACCAGCCAAGUAGCGUGCAGGAAGACGGCCCUAUGGGUUGUAAACUGCUUUUAUGCGGGGAUAAAGUGAGGGACGUGUCCCUCAUUGCAGGUACCGCAUGAAUAAGGACCGGCUAAUUCCGUG
rnacentral:rRNA from 1 species